GUCCUUUUGGUUAUUUAGAAGGUCUGGCCUGCCCAGUGACAAUAGUUUAACGGCCGCGGUAUCUUGACCGUGCAAAGGUAGCAUAAUCAUUAGUCUUUUAAUAGGGGGCUGGUAUGAAAGGUUAAACGAGACAUUGACUGUCUUAUUUAUAAAUAUUAAAAUUUAACUUUUAAGUUAAAAGGCUUAAAUUUUUUUAAGGGACGAGAAGACCCUAUAGAGCUUUACAUUAAAUUUUUUGAUGUCUUCUAGUUAAAUACUUUGAUAUUAAUUUAUUUAAUGUUUUGUUGGGGUGACAAUAAAAUAUAAUAAACUUUUUAUAUAGUUUACAUUUAUUUAUGGCUAUUUGAUCCAGUAUUAUUGAUCAUUAGAUUAAGUUACCUUAGGGAUAACAGCGUAAUCUUUCUUGGGAGUUCAAAUUUACAGAAAGGCUUGCGACCUCGAUGUUGGAUUAAGAUAAUAGUUAGGUGCAGCAGCUUAAUGAAUAGGUCUGUUCGACCUUUAAAUUCUUACAUGAUCUGAGUUCAGACCGG
rnacentral:rRNA from 1 species